CGGGGUGAGUAAUGUAUGGGGAUCUGCCUGAUGGCGGGGGAUAACUACUGGAGACGGUAGCUAAUACCGCAUAAUGUCUACGGACCAAAGCGGGGGACCUCCGGGCCUCGCGCCAUCAGAUGAACCCAUAUGGGAUUAGCUUGUAGGUAAGGUAACGGCUUACCUAGGCGACGAUCCCUAGCUGGUCUGAGAGGAUGAUCAGCCACACUGGGACUGAGACACGGCCCAG
rnacentral:rRNA from 1 species